CCUACGGGUGGCAGCAGUGGGGAAUAUUGGGCAAUGGGCGCAAGCCUGACCCAGCAACGCCGCGUGAAGGAAGAAGGCUUUCGGGUUGUAAACUUCUUUUGUCAGGGAAGAGUAGAAGACGGUACCUGACGAAUAAGCCACGGCUAACUACGUGCCAGCAGCCGCGGUAUUACGUAGGUGGCAAGCGUUGUCCGGAUUUACUGGGUGUAAAGGGCGUGUAGCCGGGUUGACAAGUUAGAUGUAAAAGCCUGCGGCUUAACCGCAGAACUGCAUUUGAAACUGUUGAUCUGGAGUACGGGAGAGGCAGACGGAAUGCGUAGUGUAGCGGUGAAAUGCGUAGAUAUUAGGAGGAACACCAGUGGCGAAGGCGGUCUGCUGGACAGCAACUGACGGUGAGGCGCGAAAGCGUGGGGAGCAAACAGGAUUAGAUACCCGAGUAGUC
rnacentral:rRNA from 1 species